UACCAUCACAGGAUACUAACACUAACUGAAGAUGUAAGAUGAAUUGUUUUCUUGUUAAUAGACCAUAAACUUUGUGAUCCAGCUGGUAGAUAGGUAAAUACCCCAUAGUUAACAUGUGCCUACAGGAGAUAUAACCACCUCCGGUGCAAAUACUGUGCACCUUUUACACCUUCAUGAGUUGACUGAACUAGUUUCCUCAGGCAGCUAUGUCUCUGAUCUUCAGUGACUUAUAUAUGACCUUCUACUACAAAGUUGAGGGAUGAAGUCCAUCAUUCACUGGAAUGUAGCAGCUGCCAAGGGUAACUUGCACUCUUCUGAGUCUGAGACACUGGAGAAAACUGUUUACUCACAAGAUGCUGUCUGUGGGAAUUGACACUCUUCUUCUUUUGAUGUGGUCAAGGUGGAUGCCAAAUCUCACAGUUCACCUCCACACAGAAAAAAAGUUCAAACACAGUUAUGUGCAUGUUGAUGCAUUAAAAUAGGUAGCUUUCCUGCUCUUUGCUUUCACUAUUUGGUUUCUUAUUUGGCUUUGCAAUGGUGUUACUGUUCUAACACUUUAUCCUUUUAUUCUUCAACCUGGUUUUAUAAGAUUAUUUUUUGUAGUUCUUUUUUAGCAGGAAGUCUUACUCAGAAGAGUCUCAUUAACACAAAAAUACAUUUCAUCCUCUUUUGACUCUUACAUUUUCAAAAACUUAUACAGAUGAUUUGAGUAAAUAGCUUUAUGGUGGCUGUGUUCUUGAUUGGCUAUCAUCAAUAGUCAGUCCCAAAAAUACUAUGGUAACGACUGAUCCAAUAUCUUUGAUCUACUUUUAUGAAAUGAUUUAUUACAUUCUACAUUCUGAUUAAAACAACCCACCGGCCUAUUUGUUUGAAGAUCUUAAAUUCUAGGUUUUGAUCUUUAGAGUGACACACUUCGCUUUCAUCUGAUGCAAUUAAAUAUAGUUCGCAAGUUUGUAACUAUCUUUGGGCAUCCCAAAACUUCAUUAAUUCUGCUACUGUUCUAUGAGUCAACAGAGACUUCAGAGCAAUUGCUUCCCCAUACUGUGCCGCAAUGUUAUUAGCCGUCAAAUGUGUAUAUUAGCAGCCUGCCAUAUUUCUGUUAUUUGCUGUUGCAAUUGGAAACAGCAGGAGCAAAUCUGUCUUCAGUAGAAGAAUCAAAACUGGCAAGACAGUUGGAGUGUAUCCUGGAUUCACUUCCUGAUCCUGAAGACAUUUUGUGUGAAUUUUCCCUCUUCAUCACUUAAUACCUUUUCCCAAAGAAAUGUAUUAGCAACCCUGACUUUGAGGUGGUCUAGUGUCUCCAGAAAGCAUCAUCAGCAUUUCUGCUACCUCUGUCUUUAAUUAACCUUAAUUAAGAUCUUUUUGCAUCCAAAAUCCAGUGUUUGUAGCUUAGAAUCAUAGUAGACCUUUGUUUGCUGUGAACUCUCUUUAUUCUGAAAUUGAAGUCACAGUGCGAUAUUUUGUCAAAGGAGCAUGGAUUCUCUAUAGUGGCCUCUGUUAGGUGUCAUGUCCUUCUUAGAUAGGAGUCAGCUUAUUUCCUAUUUAGAAAUGUUUAAUUUUUCAGAAUAUUUAAAGAAUGUUAUCUUCCUUUUUCGUUUCACGUUUCUCUGUCCUGCUGUUUGAUUUUCCUAAUCGGUAUGAAUUUCUCGAGGUUUGUUUUGUCUCUUGCAGCUUCAUGCAGGUACACAAUCAGUACAAAACCUGUUUCCAGCAGUUCAGUACCUCUGUUGUACAGCGAGUUUUUGCCAGCUGUGCUAUACUGCAUUUUACCUCACUGUUUUUCUUCUGGAAGUGAACUUUUGAUA